UCCGCUAGCAACCUUAAGCCCUCCAGGCCAUGUAUGGGGUGGACACUCCAUCGCAAACAUUCAGCUCAGACUGUGGGAGUCAUACAACCAUACAGUGCUAAUUUACUAGACAGAUAAGUGUCUCUUACCUGAAAGAAACCUGUUUUUCACCUUUUGGUGAUCAGCUCCAAGUCAGAUUUUAAGAACAUAAUUUUCAGACAGUAUACAUAACUCCUUACAUAUUAUCUAUUCAUACAUUUUUCAGUGACUAUGAGGACCACUGUGAUACAGGCUUUCAGCAGAGACCUUACUUUCUGAACUAGAAUGUAAAUAACACACACACGGGAUUUCCAGCAACCCUAAUGCACCCCUUGCCCUCAAGAAGACUGAGUUACAAUACCUGAGGAUUUUGAAGCAGAUUGUGAAUGGUGUCUGAUCCAGUAGGUGACAUCUGAGCACUUCCAAGGAUCUGGCCCCAAAGGCAAGAUUGACUGACAGAGAUGGCUUCUGCUGAAUGAAUCGAAUCUAGUCUAAUCCUGUAUUUUCAAAGAGACAAUUACUGAUGCAGGAAGAUUCCUAACCUUCAGAAAAGUCCAUUGAAUAACAGUGAGUUCCUAUGAAAAAGAAAAUCCUUUCUGUCAGACAGGAGACAUUUUAAAGGACCAGGAUAUUGUAAGAUACAAUAAUAAGAAAAAAGAGAACUCAAGAUGUAACUUGAGAAAAUGGUGUGUAUGUAUUAUACAAUUAAAUAAUCCACGGGAGAAUACUGAAGGCUGAUAUUAAGGAUUCCACGGAAAAUCAUAAAAGUUUUGGAACAAUUAUUAAUUUUACUGGAAAACA